AGCAGACUAAAAAAAUAAAAUAAAAAAAGGCAGAGCCUCCAUCUCUUUCGGCCCUCCGAGCUCCGGCGCCAAACUCAACCCCCUCUUUCAGAUUUAGACCCGGUGAUGGCGCAGGUAAGUCCUCGUCCUUCCCUUUUUAUUAUUUAUUUCUUAUGUAGAAGAUAAAAUAAAAAUAAAAAUAAAAUGAAACAAACAAAAACGUAAAUAAAAAAAAUCACCUUCAAAAGUCUGUUUUGUUUUUUAUUUUAUUUCAAUAAUCGUAAAAGCAAAUGAAGAAGAAGUUCUUCCUUACAGUAGAUUCGGUUUUAACUGAAAAAAAGAAAAAUAAAAGAGAAAAAAAAAUUUCCCCCUAUUACAGUGAUUUCGCCCCCUCUACAUUUUACAAUAUACUAGGCUUUAUAGCCGAAAGAAAAAAUGAAAAAUCGAGGGAAAAUCUCCUCUUUUGCUACUGUUUUCCUAGUCUGCUUCCAUUUCUCUCUUUUGUUGCUUGUUUGCAGGUACACAGCAAGGUCAACUUGCCAUUUCGGUGAAAGGAGGGCUGGCGGUGGCAGACAUCGGGCGUGGUGCGCACUGAAGGCGCACAUGGCGUAGCAACGGCGCGAGGGGCGCCAGAAACCCUAGGGUUUCUGGCCAUUCCAAAAUUUUUUAAGGUUUUGGGCCACCGGGCUUUGUUUCUGUAAUUGGGCUUAAUUUAGUUUGUUGGGCUGGAGCAAAUUUGGGCUUUGUACAGCUGCCCCUCUUUGCUCGUUGUCGUGUAACGAGAAUAGAGCAAAGACCAAGAAAGACUAAAUUUGCCCUGUCUUGUCGAGUCUUGACUUCUUUGAUGCUCCUCUUUUUUCUAGUAGCUUCAUUCCAGUCCACUGUGUCUUGUUGCUUCAACCCACUUCUCUGCAUUUCAAAAGGAUCUGACUUGUAGCUUUAAUUUUCUUCGCCGCAACUUCAGGGGGACGAUGUUUGUGGUUUUAGUCUACUCCGCUGCAACGUCAGGGAGAUAGGACUUGAUGCGAUCUGCUCCACUACUGCUUAGGGAGAUAAGAUCUAUAGUUUUAAUCUGCUCCACUGUAACUUUAAGGAGAUAGGAUUUAUUUCUUUCGUCUGCUCCACUGUAACCUCAAAGAGAUAAGACCUGAUGCGAUCUACUCUACUGUAACUUCAGAGAGAUAAGAUCUGUGAUUUUAAUCCGCUUCACUGUAACUUCAAGGAGAUAGGAUUGAUUUCUUUCGUCUGCUCCACUACAACUUCAGGGAGAUAAGACUGGAUGUGAUCUGCUCUACUGCAACUUCAGAGAGAUAAGAUUUGUGGUUUUAAUCCACUCCACUUGUAACUUUAGGGAGACAGGAUUAUCGGCUUCAAUCUAAUGUGAUCUAUUCUACUGUAACUUCAAAGAAAUAAGAUCCUUUAUUUUAAUCCACUCCACUGUAACUUCAGAGAGUUAGGAUUACUAGCUUCAAUCUACUCCGUUAUAAUCUCAGGGAAAUAAGAUCUCUAGCUUCAAUCUGCUCCACUGUAACCUCAGGGAGAUAAGAUCUGAAAUUCUUCGGUCUACUCCACUGUAACCUCAGGGAGAUAAGACCUGAUGCGAUCUACUCUGCUGUAACUUUAGAGAGAUAAGAUCCUUUAUUUUAAUCCGCUCCACUGUAAUCUCAGGGAGAUAGGAUUGUGUCUUGGAUCUGCUCCAUUGUAAUCUCAAGGAGAUAAGAUCUCUUGCUUCAAUCUGUUCCACUGUAACAUCAGGGAGAUAAGAUCUGAAAUUCUUCGGUCUGCUCCACUGUAACCUCAGGGAGAUAAGACCUGAUGCGAUCUACUCUGCUGUAACUUAAGAGAGAUAAGAUCCUUUAUUUUAAUCCACCCCACUGUAAUCUCAGGGAGAUAAGACUACCAGCUUCAAUCUGCUCCGCUGUAAUCUCAGAGAGAUAAGAUCUGAAAUUCUUCGGUCUAUUCCCUGGGGAACACGACCUGUAUAAUGAACCUAAUUAUGCCUAAUGAUUAGGAUGGCAUGAUCAAAAUGAAUCAAAUGCUCCUAACUAGAAAUGUGUGAAUGGUGUUUGCAUGAAUGCAGAAUUUUAUUUUUCGUGAAUGAUCUCGCUUAGGUUAUCAUUACUCGAAGUUUAUUAAGGCUUUGUCAUCGAAGUGCUAUAACACAUUCCUUCUCGACUGGCAUUAUCUGAAAAAACAUUUAGCCAGGCUGCCCCCACUGUAAACCUCAAAGUUAUAUCCACUGGGACGCCAAAAUUUGUACCAUCAUUCACCCGCUGUAAUACAAGGGUAUAAAUAUGUGGCUUUUCCUCCGUCCUCUUUUAUCACAAUUCAGAGAUAUAGGAUCUGAACCGUUCUGGUUUCCUACACCAUUCUCAGGGUGUCGUACCAAAGUCUUAUACGCAAAUGAAGGCUCUCUUCUCCGAGAUAACCUCUUCCUAUUGCCUGAUGAUCAUUGCUUGCUUGUUCAUUUAAGCUUUGCCAUUGACACGACAUCUUGUCAUUUUGUUCAAUCAAUGCACUUAACAACAUAAAUCCAAAGAGAAAGUCUAAAUUCAAACACUUCCUUUUUCAGAUUUCCAACCUUUAAAAUUGAUGUGUUCUAAACAAUAGUCCUGUUUCAGGCUCCUAUAUUAUUUAGAAACUUUUUAGAGUAAUAUGCAAAACUUUCUUUGUGAAAGUUUUAUUAGUCCAUUAAUCAUUAUUCCAAUGCAACAUGCUUGCAAAAAGGGUCAUAACAAUGGAUAAGAAUAAAGUUGGUUCUGAGCAUAGCUCGAAAGAACAAGUUAUCCAAAAAUAGUAAAGAAGGAUGACAAAGAAAUUGAUUGGGAAUGUAUAUCUUGGAAAAUGUAUUCCAAGAACAACAAAUAAUAUGAGAAUUGGGUGCCUUAGAUAUCGCAGCUUGAACUUCUAUGUACAAACUUUCUGAAAACCAUUUUGAGUUUGACAUGUGUUUAGGAGAUCUACAGUGCUUUGUCGAUGCCCCAAGAUGUCGCUUAUCCUUUCCUGUUGAUUCAGGCAUAGCAAGAUCACCACAUGCCCCAAUAUGAUCAAAAUUUGAAUCGUUCUGAUCACUUUAUGCCCCCAUUCCAAUUAAUAUUUGAGCCGCCAUUUUCGGGUUUUCAACUCAAAUCCCCUUUGGCCUAAGGCGCCCUUUCCGGGUUUUCCCCUUAGCCUCUCCAUUUUUCAUUUUCAUUUUUCAUUUUUCAUUCUCAUUUUUUUUUGACUCAGAGUGCCCUUUGCGGGUUUUCACCUUGGUCCUUUCUCCUUCUUUAAACGAAGUAUUUUUUGACUGGAUCUGAGUUUAUAGGACUAGCAAUCUCACUUAGGAUCAGUGCUCUUCUGAAGAAUGUCUUCUUUACAACGUAAGGACAUUCCUGGUUUGGCAUUCAUUUCCCCUUGGAAUCUUUUUGGAGAGAAAUGGUCUUUUUUGACAUCCAACCCUCUCGUGGAAUUUUCUGAGAUGACACUGUUCAUUAUGGGCUCGUAUCAUUUUUUUCUGGUACAUCUGACCCUGAAGAAUAGCUUUUAACCUUUUUCCUAGGUUCAACUGAUUGCAUCGCGAUUGGAUCCAUUAUGCUUCAUCCAAUUCUAGCUCAACUAAUACCCAGAGAGAAAGGAUUUCAAUAGGUAAAACUACCUAAACCCCGCAAACCAAAGCGAAAGGUAUUACCCCGGUACAGAUGUUCGACAAACAAUGAGGGCAAAUGGUAAUUUCUAAUGCCAGUCCUUGUUCACCUCUAGGUAAUUCAGUGACAAAACGUGGUGUCUGCUUCUGAAUUGAUUUCAGACCUCAGUUAUUGUGCUAUCAUUUAAGUUCAAUGCAUUUUUCAAUACCAUCCUCUCUGAAAUUCUGUAUCGGUAUAGGAUGACCUUGAUCCAUGAAGUAGCCUCAUUAGAAGUCUUCGAUAAUAGUGAUGUCCAUGCCCUAUUUUGCUCAAAAAUUGAGUCGCCCUUUUUCGGGUUUUCAACUCAAAACCUCAUUUGGUCACAAAGUGCCCCUUGCGGGUUUUCGCUUUGGCCUCUCCUUUUCUUUUUCAUUCUGAUUUUUUCAUCUAGAUUUCUCUUUUUUCAUUCUUCUUUCUUUUUCUCAUUUUUAUUUUGAUCUUGAUUUUGAUUUUUUCUUCUUUCUUCUUUUUGUUUUAUUAUUUUUGAUUUUUGAUUUUCUUCAUUUUCAUUUUGACUUUGAUUUUGAUUUUUCCUUUUCUUCCCUUUUUUGAUCUGAGCCUUUUGGGGUGUAACUACGACAGAAAACUUUGGAUCUUCCUCUUUAGUCAGGAUGGACCCAACAACAACUUGAAGAGGUAGAAAUUCGACUUCAAAUGGGCAAAGCUAUGCUGACUCCACGAGAAAGGCAUUGCCCCGACAAAGAAUUACAUCGUUCAUACUGUAAAUUUCUAACAUCGUGCUGUUGUGCAGAUUUCAUUAUUGGCGUUUAACCCGGGGCAUAUCCUGGUAUGAUCAUACGAAGACAUCUUUGAACCCUAGAGGUCACUCAAUAAGGUGUUGCUUCGUCUCUGCGGUCAGGUCAAUUCUAAUCUUUACCACACUCACAAUUUCUAAUGAUUCUUUGUGAGGUAGGAUCUAUCUAUCCUCUUAUUCAACCAUCCUUAACAAGUCAGGAGAUAAACUACAAUCUUUGUCAUUUUCAAAGCCCUGAGAUCCCUCUGAACACAUGCCUCGCUCAAAAGGAAAAUCUUGGUCUGUAGCAGAGUCAUUCACGUCAUUGAUAUCCAGGGACUCAUAAUAAGUACCAAAGAAUAUACAAAAGAAAGUAUAAAUUUAUGAAUAAUUAUUUAUACAAUAUGAUUAUGAAUGAAUUGUACGGCCCAUUUUCUGCCCGGGCCCAAAUCAAACCCAAACAAACCCAAAAAUUACAAAGGACUCAGGGCCCAAUAAGCCCAAAACCUUAACUAGUUUCCGCAAAAAAUCAGAAACCUAGAAACCCUAGCUACUGCCUUGCGCCACACCCUCUGCCGUCACCCACGUGCCUCCGUAGCUUGUUUGUCGCCCGAGGUCUGCCACCGUUUGUCAGCCUUGCACUAAAACGGCAAAUACUUGCCUCGUUGACUCAUGGCCUGCAAACAAAACAACAGCAACAGUAGCAGUGAUAAAAAUAGAACACAAAAUAGAAUAGACUUUUGUUUUUAGGUUAUUAUCCUUUUAUUUGGCUAUAAAAGCCAUUAAAAUCUGUAAAGGAGGGGGGACGGAUCUUUAUGUUUGUAAAAAGGGGGGAUUUCCUUUUGAAAAAGCAAAAAAAAAAAAACAAAGAGAAAGAGAAAUAAAAACGGAGAAAAGGUUUUAGUUUCCAAAUCUUUUUUGUUCAUUGUUAUUUAUUUUAUUUAUUUUUUUAUUUUGAUUUGUGUAAAAUAUAUAUGUAUAUACACAUAUAAAAAAAAGAAGGAAAAAUAGUACCUUUCUAGAUUUUCCGGCCACCGUGUAUGGUGGCCGGCGCGACAGCGUCGACUGCGAAGGAUUGCCGGAACCCAUGGCCGGACCUGGGGCUUGAGAGAAAAGGAGAGAGCUCUCUCUCUGUUUUUUUUUAAAUAAUGAAACUGAUUUGUUUUUUGGUUUUUUUUAAUAUUUAUACUAAAUAUGAAACGACGUCGUUUUGGUGGGGAGGAUCCGCGUGUUGACCCGACCCGACCGCCUAGGAUCCGCUUUUUUCUAGCGCAUGGGUUAUUUGCACCAUAGGUCCUCCCUCCUUUGCGGCGUAUUCAAUGCAGUUUUUUUUAUAUUUGCAAUUUUGGCAUCGAAUUUUGCUUCUGUUUCAGUUUGGUCCUUAGACCAUGCGCUUUGACUUCGUUGGAACAGCGUCGUUUAAUCAACAGGGGUUAUUUUCCUAUUCGGUCCUCUGCUUUUUAUCCGUGUUAUAAUUUAGUCUUUUUUGUCUCUUUUAUCUUUAAUUACGGCCCUAAAAUUUUGUUUUCUUUUCGAUUUGAUCCUAAAUCGACUACUAUACUUAUUCUCCCCAUUAAAUCAAAUAUUUUAGUAUUAUUAUAUAGUAUUAUUAUUUCUUGUUGAUAUUAUUGUCUUUAUUUCAUUUGUGUAUUUUUUUUCUUCUUUUUUCAUUUUUUAAUUUUUUUUAUGUCUAAAAGAUUAUUAUAUUUGUAUAUGUAUCUACGUAUAGAAAAAAUAUCAUAAGUAGGCCUUACUUCCUUUUUUACAUUUAUGCGUGUAUAUUAUUUCUAUAUAUAUUAUGAUUUACUUAUAUAUUUACAUAUUUAUAUGCCAUUUUUAAUUUUCAUAUACAUAUAUAUAUACCUUAUUAUAAAUAUCUUUAUAUCUUAUUAUGUAUAUAUAUCUAUAGCUCUUUUUAAAUAUUUUCUAGCUUGUAUAUAUACAUACGUUUUGCUAUAUAUAUGUCUAGCUCCAUUAAACAUUUAUAUAUAUACGCCUAUAAACUUUUAUUUUAUUUUAUUUUAUUUUAUUUUAUAUAUAUACAUAUGUUCUUCUUAUUUUUAUUUUUACGUAUAUACACACAUAUAUAUCUUUUAUAUUUUUAUAGCCUUAUUCAUUUCUUUAUUUAUAUUUUCAUUAUUAUUUUGAAUGAAUAUUUUAAUUUUAUUUCCUUAUAUGCAUUGUUAUUUUGUAUGUUAUUGGUUUAUCCUUUUAUCUAAUUUAUUUUCAUUGCUAUUACUCAUAUUAUUUAUGCUACAUCAUCGUAUUCAUUUUUGUUUUGUUCACAUAUCGACAUUGUGUUUUAUUUCGUGUUAGAUUAAUUUUAUUCGAUGUAUAAAUUAUGAUUUUUUAAAUAAGCAAAAUCUCGUAUUUAGAUUCGAGAAGGUCGUACCCUAACUUACUGGGUUUCGAUUUUCAUAAUAAAUCUAAAUACACGAAUUUUUUCAAACUCAAGUUUCAAACAAUCUCGGGAAUUAAGAAAAAAUCGUGUCCUAACUUACUGGGCAUGUUCCCUUUUCUAAACCCGAGAUAAUUAAAUAUCUUUUAAAUAAGUAAAUUUUGCCAUUCAUUCGCAUAUCGGGAAUUCGAGACAUUGUGUCCUGACUUAUUGGAUAUGAUGCUUUCUUUCUCGAUUAACGUGGAACGUGCCCCUUUUCCCAAAAUUUUUAACAUUUUAAUACAAGGAUCGUAUUUUUAAAUUUAUUUAAAGUUUUUAGUUUUUCGACACUAAGACAUUAAGUAAUCAACUAGGUACCAAUUUUGGGCGUAUCGAGGGUGCUAAUCCUACCUCGUGCGUAACCGACUCCCGAACCUGUUUUUCUGAAUUUCGUGGACCAAACUUGUUGUUUUAAUAAAAUCAAACCAUUUAUUAAAAACAACCACUUUUCGAGGUGAUCCAAUCACACCUCAUUAAAAAGGAUUGGUGGCGACUCCCGUUUCAUUUUUCAAAACCCAAGUCGACCCCGUUUUCAUCCAAAAAAUGGUGUCAACAUGAAUGAUGUGGAAGAAAAUCUAAAAGAAUGAAAUAAUCAGAAAUAAUUAUUCAAAAAGAAUGAAAGAAUAUUGGCUCAAAAAGGAAUGCAAAGAUGUAUUUUAUUAGAAUAAUGACGUUCAGACAUUAGCCUAUUUCACAAAGGAAUUUCUAUCGCUUUAGGCUAAAAACAACAAAAAUGUUCUGAGCAUUACUCUAAAUAAGCCUUGAUAAAUACAGGAAUUUCUUCCGCAGUUUAAUUAUUUAGAACACUCUAAAUUUAUAAGGGCAGGUAUCUAACAAGGUCCCUUUUCCUUUGUGUUUUCAUGUAUGCCAUUGGUGUGAACACUUGCCAACAUUGCUUCAUACAUCUCAUUCAUCCCGUUGUCAACAUGAUUGGGUAGAUGGUUUUUUGCACUAGACAAAUCACCCAACUUGACAAUACCCAUGUUGAUGAAUUUUUCGACUAGCUUCUUGAAGGCAAUGCAAUUCUCUAUUGAAUGCCCCGUAACUCUCGCAUGGUAGUCACAUUGUGCGUUCAUGUCAUACCAUUUGGGAUACGAGGGUUGUAUGGGUUUUAAGUAAUGAGGAGCAACAACAUGCGCAUCGAACAAGCUUUGAUACAGCUCCUUAUAUGACAUCGAAAUUGGUGUGAACUGGAGCUUCUCAGUACCUGGUUUCACUCCAGAUUCUUGCUUUAAAGGACUUUGAUGUCUGCUGGUUUUUGUCUUUGGCCGGCCCAUAAUGAUUGGUUUUGAGUGGCCCUUGUUAUAUCUGCCUGCAUUAUCCCCUUUAUUCCCCUUCUUCCCUAGGGCCUUUGUAGUAUCUGGGUAUUCUAUCCUCAUCUUCUUUAUUUCGGCUAGAUUAGCAACAGGAUUAGCUAAAUCAUUCCUCAAAUUGGAUCCUAAGCCUGUCAGGCAAUUCACUGGUGUCGAUGUACCAGUCUGAUAAUAUUGGGAUCCGAUAAUAAAAAGUGUUUCUUGUGGACGCCCAUCUGGCUGAAUCUGGACACUUGUCAGAGUACAAUCUAAGGAAUAGACAAGAUCCUCAUUAUCAACCCCAAAGUAAACCACCGGGUCUUUGACUUUCCAGCUAGCAAUCGGUUGAACUGGUUUAUCAUAGUUCUCCGUAAUUCUAGCAUCUGAUCUCUCAUCUCCUGUUGAAAUUCAGUCAAAUGCUCAUGCAUCUGAAUCUGCAUUCGCUCUAAUUUUUCCAACCUUCGUUCCAUUUCUCUAGUCUUUGCUUGGAUGUUGUAAGGGUGUUUGGUUGGUUGAUUUUCCAGGUUAGCUGAAAUAAAUUUACUCGUUUAGACUCUUUCAAUGGAUUUUAAUGCAUGUAAUGCAAUGUAAUGCAAAUACAUGAAAUGAAUGCCUAAAGUGACGUUGAUUCUGAUUCAAUUACAUUUAGGAAACUUUUCUAGAAAGCAAAUUCCCUUAUAUAAAACGGAUACAUGUACGGCCUCACCCUCAUAUUCCAAGAAACAACAUCGGUCUUUUUCUUCACCCGCAUGUUUGAGGUAAUCUCGCUAAUAGAUGUCAUUGCUAGCUCAUUCUCUUGAUCUUGGUUGCAAUCCAUCACCUGCCCGUCCUCUUAAGGCUCGUCCGCCUCUUUAAGGGGGUGGAAUGUUGAAGGCUCUCAGACAAUUACCUUGAAUCCUCAAGCCACGAAGUAGGAUCACGAACUCUUCCAUCGCCAUUCUUGUGUUUCUCAUAAUAUAUUCGGGGAGUCGUAUUGUUUUCCACUUUAUCAAGAAAUUCGUAUUCCAUGACAAGCUUUCUAAUUUAGUAAUCGAACAUGAAUCAAUAUCUCUUUCCUAAGAUGCAAAUACAAUGUAAUGCAAUCAUAAUCAAAACACAACAAGAAGGGUUAGAACAAAACAUAAGCAAGCACGGAAAACAAAAAGUACCUAAUCAGGUAAAUACUAGGGAUUUGGAGUGGCUCUACCUAGGUUAAGUUCCUAAGUCCACUAUAUGAGGGUUGGUUCUAAAGAUAAGGUACCCGAACCAGCAGAUUCCUCGAUCUUCACCCAUUAUAGGCUCAUACAGACCGAGUUCAGUUCAGGGGAAUACAUUUCCCUAUGGCUGCACGGAGAUGAAAAUCUCACGAAGACAUAGGUACGAAUGUAUCCCGGAAGUGAUCCACUAUCCUGCACGGAGGUGAAAACCUCACGAAGGACUAGUCUCUCACUCCCACUUAAAAGGGUGUGACCAACGGUCAUGCAAUGCAAUGUGCAGAAAGAUACCAAAAUUUAAACAAACAGAGCAAUUAUAAACCACAAUAAUGAAAAUUGUAAUAAAGAUCGAUGAAAUGCAAUGAAAGGAUCGUAAAUUUAAACCAAAUUUUCAAUUUUCGACAAAAAGAUAACAAAUAAUCAACUCGUGGCUUGACUCUCUUAUUUAAAUUCCCCAGUGGAGUCGCCAAGCUGUUGACACCAUUUUUUUGAUAAAAACGGGGUCGACUUGGGUUUUGAAAAAUGAAACGGGAGUCGCCACCAAUCCUUUUUGAGGUGUGAUUGGAUCACCUUGAAAAGUGGUUGUUUUUAAUAAACAAUUUAAUUUUAUUAAAACAACGAUUUUGGUCUACGAAAUUCAGAAAAACGGGUUCGGGAGUCGGUUACGCACGAGGAAGGAUUAGCACCCUCGAUACGCCCAAAAAUUGGUACCUAGUUGAUUAUUUAAUGUCUUAAUGUCGAAAAGCUGAAAACUUUAAAGAAAUUUAAAAUACAAUCCUUAAAAAAAAAACUCGAAUGGCAUGGAUUAAAAUUCAAGAGAAUAUUUUGGCAAUUUGUCUAAACGAGAAAUCGAAACCCAGCACAUUAAGGCACGUUCCUCGAAUUUCCAAACGCAAAACAUUGCCUUAUUUUAAAAAUUUUUAAAAGGAUAUUUAGCUAUUUGGUUGAACGAGAAAAAUCGAAACCCAGCACAUUAGGGCACGUUUUCUCAAAUUUCCCAAACGCUAAAUAUUGCCUUAUUUAGAAAAACCUUCCUUUCGAUGUUUGGUGUUAAUAAGACAAUAACAAAUAUAACAAGUUAAGGAUAAAUGGUACAAACAAUCAUAAAAAAUGGAAUAAAUAAAUAUAAGAGAUGAAUCGAUCACUUGAUAACAAGUAAAUAAACAAAUAGAAUUAAAAUGUUCUUUUAAAAUAAUAAUGAACGUAUACGCAAACAAAUAAAUGAACAUCAAGUAACACGAAAAAUGAGAUGUGUGUUUCUAUAUACGUAUUUUAAAAUAAUAAAGUAUUUUAAAAUAUGUACAUUGUAAGAUAUAGGUAUAUAUACGUAUUAUAAAAUGUAUAGAUGUACGUAGUUUGAGAUUAUAAAAUAUAUGAGGAACAUAUGCAUAUAAAUAUAGAUAAAAGGUACGUAUAUUUAUAUUCAUGAAAAUAAAAUGUAUAUAGGUAUAUAUGGAGAUGUAUACAAAUUAUAAAAAUAUGAAAAUAAGUAUAUGUUUAUAUAAAAUAUUUACAUACAGAUAUAUUUUACAAAAUGUAUGCAUAUAUGUAAAAAUUUAAGAUGUAUAUAUAAAUUAUAUGAGAAUGUAAAAAUAUAAACGUGUAUUUAUUUAUAAAAAGGAAAAUGUACACAUGUGUAAAGUAUAAAGUAUAGAUGAUACAUAUUGAAGUAGGUAUAUUUAUACAUAUAUAUAAAUUUGAAAAAUUAUGUGUGUAUAUGUAUAUAAAAAUAUGAAAUGUCUAAAAUAUAAGAGUAUGUGUAUACAUGUAUAUUUAUAAUAAAGAUAAGAUCUAUAAGUAUAUAUAUAUGAAUAAAAAUUAUAGGCGUAUAUAUAUAUUAUAAAAAUGUAUGAUGGAUAUAGACAUAUAUAUGUAUGUGUAACAAACAUAUGUAUGUACAUAGCAAUAAUAAUAAUAAUAAUAAUAAUAAAAUAACGGGACUAAAUUGAAAACAAAACAAAAUCCCAGGGGAGAAACCAAAAAUAAAAUAAGGCCAAAGAUCAAUCCGUGACGUGCGCUGAGGGAGGGGGACCGAUUGGUCAAUUAUCCCUAGCCAUAUGCGUGUCGUUCCACGUGGGACUAAAAUGAAACAACUAUAAAAUUAUAUGGCUAAUUUAAAAUAAAAGAAAAGAAUGAAAAGGGGGCUAAUUGUAACGCACUGCAAAAGUGGAGGGACCGCGCGCGUAAAUAACCCAUUUCAUGCAAACACGCGGAUCCCCCCUGGAGCGGGUCGGGUCGCGCGCGGGUCAUGGAGGCUAAACGGCGCCGUUUAAUGUUUUUAUUCAAAACCCCUAAAAAAAACCUAGUUUAUUUCAGCAGACUAAAAAAAUAAAAUAAAAAAGGCAGAGCCUCCAUCUCUUUCGGCCCUCCGAGCUCCGGCGCCAAACUCAACCCCCUCUUUCCGAUUUAGACCCGACGAUGGCGCAGGUAAGUCCUCGUCCUUCCCUUUUUAUUAUUUAUUUCUUAUGUAGAAGAUAAAAUAAAAAUAAAAAUAAAAUGAAACAAACAAAAACGUAAAUAAAAAAAAUCACCUUCAAAAGUCUGUUUUGUUUUUUUUUAUUUCAAUAAUCGUAAAAGCAAAGGAAGAAGAAGUUCUUCCUUACAGUAGAUUCGGUUUUAACCGAAAAAAAGAAAAAUAAAAGAGAAAAAAAAAUUUCCCCCUAUUACAGUGAUUUCGCCCCCUCUACAUUUUACAAUAUACUAGGCUUUAUAGCCGAAAGAAAAAAUGAAAAAUCGAGGGAAAAUCUCCUCUUUUGCUACUGUUUUCCUAGUCUGCUUCCAUUUCUCUCUUUUGUUGCUUGUUUGCAGGUACACAGCAAGGUCAACUUGCCAUUUCGGUGAAAGGAGGGCUGGCGGUGGCAGACAUCGGGCGUGGUGCACGCUGAAGGCGCACAUGGCGUAGCAACGGCGCGAGGGGCGCCAGAAACCCUAGGGUUUCUGGCCAUUCCAAAAUUUUUAAGGUUUUGGGCCACCGGGCUUUGUUUCUGUAAUUGGGCUUAAUUUAGUUUGUUGGGCUGGAGCAAAUUUGGGCUUUGUACAGUAUUUAUUAUAUAUGGUUAAAUCGGUGUAUAACCUAUUGAAUAAGCGGACAAAAAAUUAGUGGUUUAAUCGAUUCAAUCAAUAGUUUGAUCUUGAAAACCAUGCCCGGCAUAGCAAAUCAACUGACUUGUCCUCUAGAAAUGAUCUCAACAUGGCUAGGCUUCCCUUGGGGUAGCAAAUCUACUAAGCUAGCCUAUGGAGAUUAUCUCAACGCGGCUAGACUUUUCCUAGCAUAGAGGAUCAACUAACUUGGCUUCUAAAGAUGAUGUCAACGUGGGCUUCUCCCAGCGUAGCGGAUCAACUAAGUUAGCCUCUCGGGAGAUGAUCAGGUUGAUCUCGGACUAUGGAGACUUACAAGGACGUCUGUAGAGAAAGGGAUAAUGUUAGCGGGCACCAGAGGACUUCCUUCCGAGGCAUACUCCAACUCAACUCAAUGAUCAGGUAUAACUUAAUGCAAGAAAAGAAGAAGUUUUGAAAAAGAGGGGUAGAAGAUGCUUUUCAAUUGCUAUGUAGUGAAGUAUAUGACUGGUCUUUCUGUGAAUGGCAGUGAAUCCUUCCAUUUAUAGCCAAUGGUGAAGUAACUUGGUGCCAUGUGACGUUUCAUCAUUAGCUUGGUGUUGAGGUAUCUUUCUGAGAUGCAUUGAACCUUGGUCAAGUGGUCUUGCAAGUGGGAACCAGGUCUUGGAGGGUCUUCCGUUUGGGGCCUUGCCUUGGGCCUAGCUUUCCUUGGAUUAGUCAUGUUGGGUGCUCUGGAGAUCAUCUUGAGGGUUUUGGUUGUCCGUUACCUUCUGCGAUCAACUUUUAUUUUCAUCUCAACAAGAACCAUAAAAUAUUUAAAGAUAUCAACUUUUUUAAAUAGUAAAUGACAUUUUUAAAAUUGUAAAUGUUAAUUAUCUUAAAGUUUGACCUUAUUUUAUUUUUUUAAUAAGAUAUGGACCAAAUUGAUUCAUUUAAUGGUAAAUGGACUAAUUUGAUAAAGAUCUUAUAAUAGAGGAACA
rnacentral:lncRNA from 1 species